CCCGCUGAACUUAAGCAUAUCAAUAAGCGGAGGAAAAGAAACCAACAGGGAUUCCCUUAGUAACGGCGAGUGAAGCGGGAACAGCUCAAUUUUGAAAUCUUGGUCUUUCAGAUCACGAAUUGUAGUUUCUAGAAGCGCUUUCGGGGGUAGCCUAGGUUUAAGUCUGUUGGAAUGCAGCAUCAUAGAGGGUGAGAAUCCCGUAUAUGGUCUGGUGCCUACUCCUGUGUGAUGCGUUUUCAAAGAGUCGGGUAGUUUGAGAUUGCUGCCCAAAAUGGAAGGUAAAUAUCUUCUAAAGCUAAAUAUUGGCGAGAGACCGAUAGCGAACAAGUACCGUGAGGGAAAGAUGAAAAGAACUUUGAAAAGAGAGUUAAACAGUACGUGAAAUUGUCAAAAGGGAACCGCUUGAAACCAGUAUUGCGCAGCAAAAAUCAGCCAUUCAUAUCGAGUGGUGCACUUUUUGUUGUUGCAGGUCAUCAUCAGUUUGAUUUGGAGUACAAAGCCGCCGGAGGUUGACUUCGGUCUAGUCGGCGGUAAUGCUCUGGGUUGGACUGAGGACUGCAGCUCUGUAUUUGGGUACCUAGUCGCCAUUCGAACGGCGUGUGCAGACAACUUGUUGAUUGUACUCGCAAUUAGAUUGCCCGGCCAGCUUGCCACAACUGAGCUUAGGAUGUUGACGAAAUGGUUUUAAACGACCCGUCUUGAAACACGG
rnacentral:rRNA from 1 species